rnacentral:lncRNA from 1 species
CCUUACAGAGACCUCACCAUUAACAGCAUCUGCAAGAGAAGAUUAAAGCACACGAUUACUUUACUCACUGUGUAACACAUGAGGAACAUGGACGAGAUGGGAAAAAGGUGAGUGGCUUAACGUCAAGCACUUCAUUAAUGAGAUGAACUCCUGACUUUGGACAGUGGUCCACUUACAGACGCUGUCUUUGAAACUGCCUGCAGAGCCUCCUGAGAUCUUCUAAUAUGGCUGUUGA